CUGAGCAUGUGUGACCGACAUGUGUGAUCGACAUGUGUGACCGACAUGUGUGACCGACAUGUGUGAUCGACAUGUGUGACCGACUUGUCUAGACUUAAAUCUAUAAGGUGAACAUAACCAAGAGUAACAGACUAUUAAAAUAAAAGCAGAAAGCAAGUAGAUGGGGGAUUAGGUCACCAGGUGCAGCAAACUACAGGACGUUUCGAGGCAUAAGAUGUAAGGAAGGACUUGUGUUGUAAGCAGUACAAAAGGUCAUCUAUGAUGUUGCAAGAAUACAAGCCUGAAAAGCAAAUGCUGAUGUUGUACUCUGUUGUGCUCAUUUGUUGCUGGCUACAGAGUUAUGUGCUCUCAAGACAAGAAGUCCAAAGAGAGAUGGGUGUCUCGGUAGAAGAAGAAGCUAAGAGAUUGUGCCAUUUAGCUAGCAGCUGUUCUUGCCCUAAGCUUCUCCUUCAAAGUAUACAAAAUCCAGAUAACAGGAUCACACUUUAAAUCACUUCCGCAUUUUGCUGGGAUGCGACAGACAGAGAUGUGAAAAGUGGAAAGAAUGUAUUGUGUGUGACAACAGAUGUAAGGUGGGGCUCUUGGGAAUUAGGAAACUGAAAUAUGCUGAGCACAUGCAAAUGGAGAUCACACAUUAGAUGGCAGAUGGGAAAGAUGUAGAGACAAUUUAUCAGUUUCAGAUUAUAGAUUACCAAACAGCAGAAAACAAACUGCAAAAGGGAGUAACAUAAAGAAAUAACUAGAAAUGUUCGGAGUUCAUUUGUCAAUAUAUUUCAUAGUUUCCUUAAAGCAACGACAGAGGAUGCUUUAUGUAAGACAUUUUUAUGACUUCCUACUAUGCUG